rnacentral:ncRNA from 1 species
GAAGUAUCAGCAACGCCAUACAGGUGGGGUUGCCAAACCGCUCUACGCUGCAAAAGCUGCAAAGCUGCUGUAGUGAACGGAUAGAGAAAAGGUGGAAGAAAAUCCAUCAGGU